GACGAACGCUGGCGGCGUGCCUAAUACAUGCAAGUCGAGCGGUCCCUUCGGGGAUAGCGCCGGACGGGUGAGUAACACGUAGGCAACCUGCCUGUAAGACUGGGAUAACUAUCGGAAACGAUAGCUAAGACCGGAUAACUGGUUUUCUCGCAUGGGAGAAUCAUGAAACACGGAGCAAUCUGUGGCUUAUAGAUGGGCCUGCGGCGCAUUAGCUAGUUGGUGAGGUAACGGCUCACCAAGGCGACGAUGCGUAGCCGACCUGAGAGGGUGAACGGCCACACUGGGACUGAGACACGGCCCAGACUCCUACGGGAGGCAGCAGUAGGGAAUCUUCCGCAAUGGACGCAAGUCUGACGGAGCAACGCCGCGUGAGUGAUGAAGGUUUUCGGAUCGUAAAGCUCUGUUGCCCUAGACGAACAGCAGGGAGAGUAACUGCUCUCUGUGUGACGGUAUAGGAGAAGAAAGCCCCGGCUAACUACGUGCCAGCCGCCGCCGUAAAAC
rnacentral:rRNA from 1 species